rnacentral:rRNA from 1 species
CCAGACUCCUACGGGAGGCAGCAGUGAGGAAUAUUGGUCAAUGGGCGCAGGCCUGAACCAGCCAAGUCGCGUGAGGGAAGACUGCCCUAUGGGUUGUAAACCUCUUUUAUAAGGGAAGAAUAAUGACUACGUGUAGUCAGAUGCCCGUACCUUAUGAAUAAGCAUCGGCUAACUACGUGCCAGCAGCCGCGGUAAUACGUAGGGAGCAAGCGUUGUCCGGAAUUACUGGGUGUAAAGGGAGCGUAGGCGGGAUAGUAAGUUGAUUGUUAAAACUAUCGGCUCAACUGGUAGAUGCGAUCAAAACUGCAAUUCUUGAGUGAAGUAGAGGCAGGCGGAAUUCCUAGUGUAGCGGUGAAAUGCGUAGAUAUUAGGAGGAACACCAGUGGCGAAGGCGGCCUGCUGGGCUUUAACUGACGCUGAGGCUCGAAAGUGUGGGUAGCAAACAGGAUUAGAUACCCGUGUA